GGACAGUAUGUAGUUUAAAUAGACCCUCGAAACAGCGGAGGGAAACAGUUUAACACUGGCCCUCGGUAAAAUGAGACCCAUUCUGUUGAUUGUCUUCUUUUUUACUUUCAAGGCCUGCUUUACGAGUGCUGAAGGAGCUGAAGGUAAAAUGGGGAAGCAGCAGGCACCAUUUCAAUACCUUAUUCCUGUACCAUGGCGUCAACCUCGACCAAUUCCUCGACCUACACGUCGUCCACCUCAACCACUUCGACCGAUUGCGCUGGGUCCAUAUCUUAUCACUGAAUUCUUGGCUGACAGUAAAAUUCUGACCAACAAUUUAAAAGAGAGCACCCAAAGCGCUAAACAGGGAUCUGAAUAUGUUCCGGAUUUGAGCGCAGUUAAAACUCCGAAAAGGGUAGUUGUUUGAAACCUCUAUAAGAAAAGGACACCUCCAAGGCAGUCGGAAGAGUAAUUUGAGCAAACGUCAUUGUUCAUUUCAUGUUGGAAAUAAAUCCUAGAUAUCAG